UCCCUUCAGAUUCCUUAUCCCUCCGAUCUAAACAUUGUUCUGAGUGGCUAACAAAGGAGGAAGAGUAAGACUAAAGUGGACUUGGAGUCUUUAGUGACAUAGAAGUUCAUUGUAAACAUAU
rnacentral:snoRNA from 1 species